rnacentral:rRNA from 1 species
GGUUAAGCGACUAAGCGUACACGGUGGAUGCCCUGGCAGUCAGAGGCGAUGAAGGACGUGCUAAUCUGCGAUAAGCGUCGGUAAGGUGAUAUGAACCGUUAUAACCGGCGAUUUCCGAAUGGGGAAACCCAGUGUGAUUCGUCACACUAUCAUUAACUGAAUCCAUAGGUUAAUGAGGCGAACCGGGGGAACUGAAACAUCUAAGUACCCCGAGGAAAAGAAAUCAACCGAGAUUCCCCCAGUAGCGGCGAGCGAACGGGGAGCAGCCCAGAGCCUGAAUCAGUGUGUGUGUUAGUGGAAGCGUCUGGAAAGGCGCGCGAUACAGGGUGACAGCCCCGUACACAAAAAUGCACAUACUGUGAGCUCGAUGAGUAGGGCGGGACACGUGGUAUCCUGUCUGAAUAUGGGGGGACCAUCCUCCAAGGCUAAAUACUCCUGACUGACCGAUAGUGAACCAGUACCGUGAGGGAAAGGCGAAAAGAACCCCGGCGAGGGGAGUGAAAAAGAACCUGAAACCGUGUACGUACAAGCAGUGGGAGCCUCUUUAUGGGGUGACUGCGUACCUUUUGUAUAAUGGGUCAGCGACUUAUAUUCUGUAGCAAGGUUAACCGAAUAGGGGAGCCGAAGGGAAACCGAGUCUUAACUGGGCGUUAAGUUGCAGGGUAUAGACCCGAAACCCGGUGAUCUAGCCAUGGGCAGGUUGAAGGUUGGGUAACACUAACUGGAGGACCGAACCGACUAAUGUUGAAAAAUUAGCGGAUGACUUGUGGCUGGGGGUGAAAGGCCAAUCAAACCGGGAGAUAGCUGGUUCUCCCCGAAAGCUAUUUAGGUAGCGCCUCGUGAAUUCAUCUCCGGGGGUAGAGCACUGUUUCGGCAAGGGGGUCAUCCCGACUUACCAACCCGAUGCAAACUGCGAAUACCGGAGAAUGUUAUCACGGGAGACACACGGCGGGUGCUAACGUCCGUCGUGAAGAGGGAAACAACCCAGACCGCCAGCUAAGGUCCCAAAGUCAUGGUUAAGUGGGAAACGAUGUGGGAAGGCCCAGACAGCCAGGAUGUUGGCUUAGAAGCAGCCAUCAUUUAAAGAAAGCGUAAUAGCUCACUGGUCGAGUCGGCCUGCGCGGAAGAUGUAACGGGGCUAAACCAUGCACCGAAGCUGCGGCAGCGACACUAUGUGUUGUUGGGUAGGGGAGCGUUCUGUAAGCCUGCGAAGGUGUACUGUGAGGUAUGCUGGAGGUAUCAGAAGUGCGAAUGCUGACAUAAGUAACGAUAAAGCGGGUGAAAAGCCCGCUCGCCGGAAGACCAAGGGUUCCUGUCCAACGUUAAUCGGGGCAGGGUGAGUCGACCCCUAAGGCGAGGCCGAAAGGCGUAGUCGAUGGGAAACAGGUUAAUAUUCCUGUACUUGGUGUUACUGCGAAGGGGGGACGGAGAAGGCUAUGUUGGCCGGGCGACGGUUGUCCCGGUUUAAGCGUGUAGGCUGGUUUUCCAGGCAAAUCCGGAAAAUCAAGGCUGAGGCGUGAUGACGAGGCACUACGGUGCUGAAGCAACAAAUGCCCUGCUUCCAGGAAAAGCCUCUAAGCAUCAGGUAACAUCAAAUCGUACCCCAAACCGACACAGGUGGUCAGGUAGAGAAUACCAAGGCGCUUGAGAGAACUCGGGUGAAGGAACUAGGCAAAAUGGUGCCGUAACUUCGGGAGAAGGCACGCUGAUAUGUAGGUGAAGUCCCUUGCGGAUGGAGCUGAAAUCAGUCGAAGAUACCAGCUGGCUGCAACUGUUUAUUAAAAACACAGCACUGUGCAAACACGAAAGUGGACGUAUACGGUGUGACGCCUGCCCGGUGCCGGAAGGUUAAUUGAUGGGGUUAGCGGUAACGCGAAGCUCUUGAUCGAAGCCCCGGUAAACGGCGGCCGUAACUAUAACGGUCCUAAGGUAGCGAAAUUCCUUGUCGGGUAAGUUCCGACCUGCACGAAUGGCGUAAUGAUGGCCAGGCUGUCUCCACCCGAGACUCAGUGAAAUUGAACUCGCUGUGAAGAUGCAGUGUACCCGCGGCAAGACGGAAAGACCCCGUGAACCUUUACUAUAGCUUGACACUGAACAUUGAGCCUUGAUGUGUAGGAUAGGUGGGAGGCUUUGAAGUGUGGACGCCAGUCUGCAUGGAGCCGGCCUUGAAAUACCACCCUUUAAUGUUUGAUGUUCUAACGUGGACCCGUGAUCCGGGUUGCGGACAGUGUCUGGUGGGUAGUUUGACUGGGGCGGUCUCCUCCUAAAGAGUAACGGAGGAGCACGAAGGUUGGCUAAUCCUGGUCGGACAUCAGGAGGUUAGUGCAAUGGCAUAAGCCAGCUUGACUGCGAGCGUGACGGCGCGAGCAGGUGCGAAAGCAGGUCAUAGUGAUCCGGUGGUUCUGAAUGGAAGGGCCAUCGCUCAACGGAUAAAAGGUACUCCGGGGAUAACAGGCUGAUACCGCCCAAGAGUUCAUAUCGACGGCGGUGUUUGGCACCUCGAUGUCGGCUCAUCACAUCCUGGGGCUGAAGUAGGUCCCAAGGGUAUGGCUGUUCGCCAUUUAAAGUGGUACGCGAGCUGGGUUUAGAACGUCGUGAGACAGUUCGGUCCCUAUCUGCCGUGGGCGCUGGAGAACUGAGGGGGGCUGCUCCUAGUACGAGAGGACCGGAGUGGACGCAUCACUGGUGUUCGGGUUGUCAUGCCAAUGGCACUGCCCGGUAGCUAAAUGCGGAAGAGAUAAGUGCUGAAAGCAUCUAAGCACGAAACUUGCCCCGAGAUGAGUUCUCCCUGACCCUUUAAGGGUCCUGAAGGAACGUUGAAGACGACGACGUUGAUAGGCCGGGUGUGUAAGCGCAGCGAUGCGUUGAGCUAACCGGUACUAAUGAACCGUGAGGCUUAACCUU